AGAUCAGCGGCUGUGGCGCGGUGCGCCCGGAUGGGCCGGUGCCGCCUGACUCACUCCCUGUCGCCUUCCCGGCGCUAUCAGCCGCGGGCACCGCUCUCCUGGCGCCUGCGAGCUGCCGGUGCCUCGGGCUGCACUGCGGCCGGCGGCGGAGGGCUGCCGCCUCGUCCCCAGUGACUGUCACAUGAGUUCCCCAAGGAUAAUGGACCCUAAGAUGCGAGAGACUGAAGGAGAUGGAGAGGACAAUUCAGGAAAGAAGAAAUCAAAGUUCAAGUCUUUCAAAAAGUUUUUUGGUAAGAAGAAAAGGAAAGAGUCAUCUUCUGGGAGCAGCACUCUGAAGUUGUUCCAGUCAACAAGUGAUGUUGCAGCCUCUCAUAACAUGCACGUUAAUUAUGAUUCUGAAGAUGAACUUGAGUAAGUCUUUGGACUCUGGUUGGUAAACAAAUACAGAACUGCUACAAUGUUUGUAGAUUAAAGACACCCUAGAAUUGC
rnacentral:lncRNA from 1 species